UUACGGUCAUAUCACGUUGAAACAUCGAUCUCCGUAAGAUCAUCGAAGUUAAAUAACGUCGAGCCCGGUUAGUACUUAGGUGGGUAACCGCUUGGGAAUACCAGGUGCUAU